AGUGUCUGUAACAUGCCCAAGUGGGGGUGACGGUGGUCCCUGGAGCAUGAGCUUUGACGUUGGGGAACACCCCAGCCCCCUCGCAGUACCCAGGUUCUCAAGGUCACUUUCUCCCUCAGUCCUGCCUCACAUCAGCCUUCAAGAAGCAUGUUCUGCUUCCCCCAUAUCCUUACUCGCAUCAAGAUGAUCAGACCCAGAGAUGGCAAAGGCCUCAUGCCUAAAAGCCCGAGCCCUGGGAGGGGAGGGGCGUGGCGGGGUGCAUGUCCCGAGUCCAGUCUCCCAGGGCCGGACUGAUGCUAGCUGCGCAGUCCUCACUCUGGGUGGGCGACUCUUGGAAGGAGCUGCUUCCAUCAGGGCCACAUUCAGUUUGCUAGAAAUAGAGACAGAGGGUUUCUCGACUUUGCAUAUGAUUUGCAUAAUGUCGUAGACACAGUCUAUUUUCAGGCAGUUUUCAGGUUAAAGUGUUGUCGCUGCUGCCCUGCAGGGUGUCACGUCUGGAUGAGUCUCUUCUCUGUUCUUUCUCACCCACCCACUCUUACUGACCUAGAUCCCCGCUGCAGGAGCAAGUGGUAGGGUGGGGGGAGAGUGGGUUGUCCAGGGAGACACGGGGACAGGGCAGGAGGCACACUGGAAUUUCCUUUAUUACCGCCAUCACCAAAGGCAGAAUGUGGCUGCUCAGGGCAACUGGUAGGCAGAGGGCAGCGAGGAGCCAGCCACAAGGUGGCCCAUCCUCUGUUCUACACAAACCUUUCCCACCUCUCCUGCUAGGAGAACAGCCAGUUCCCAUACAGAGAUGUCUAGAUAAACCUGUUCCUAUCCGCCACCCAUAAGGCUUUGCUUGGCCCAGACAUCCCUCGUGGGCAUUUAUUUUCAGCACUAACAUUUGACUUUAAUCUCAUGGGAAAUCUGACCCCUAGUCCCUCCCUCUCCUGGGAACCCCAUCUGGAAGACCAGUAUCCUAACCGGACGAUCAAUGUUUGUAAUGCACCUGGCACACAGUAGGAGGUCAACCAAUGCUAGAGCCCCCUGCUCCCCUUCGUUCAGAAGUCUGUGCCAAGCCCCUGAUUGUCCCAGGCCUGGAUGCCCAGCACAGGCACCCUCCUCUGAGGCCUUGAGGCAAACACACUAGAAGGGCCAGUGGGUGACUGCCACUAAGUCGUCUGAGAACUUGUCACAGCACUUGGCCUCUCAGCUAGAAAAGAGGGGGUUUGGUGGAUUUUAGGGGCAAGGGCAAUGCUCAUGUCAUAGCUUGAGCUGUUUGAUGACCUGUCCUUGGCCCAAGAGGGCUAGGCCUGGAGCCCCACCCAGGGCUCCCUCCAACCCUUCAGCCUCGGGGCCUGUCUGGUGUGCCAUCUUCCUAAUGAUUCACCAGGUGCCUCGGCAAAAAGCCUGGGAGCCAUACUGGGUCCUGGGAAGCAGAAGGCUACUUGGUCAGGCUGGACACCAGCAAUGCAUUACCCAGAAUUCCCGGUCCCUGGCGUCCAGUCCCCCUGGACCUGCCUCAUCCCCUUAGGCAGGCGUUUCCUGUUGAUAAGAAGCUCACUCACAAACACUGAUAAAGAGAUGAAAAGAGGAAAUUGACGGGCUUGGGGUAUAAUGGGCAUUUUGUCUGCCUUUACUACCCUCUUCCUUCUCCCAGCUCCCCUCCCCCACUGCUUCCCAGAAGCCAGGAGAAAACAUGUCCCCCACCUCUUCCUGGGCCCAACUUUGUAGUUUCCAGGAAUUUAGCCUCACACAGUCCUUAGAAGUAGGGCCCAGAUCGGGGGAGGGCGAGUUAGGAGCUCAGAGGCAGGAAGCCCUGGGCGCUAUGAGGCCACCAAGCCCAGGGGAAAGGGCUGGGGCAAGAGGAAGGAAGAAUGGUCAGGCACAGGUUUCACCUACCACUUUCUGUCUCCCCUCCCUCUCUCUCCCCCAGAGACCUGGGUCCAAGUCGUGGUUAGGUGGUUGCAGUCUAUAAUUAGUGAAUUUUCCAUAAUUUUAGUCUCAGGCUCAUUACUGGAAAAUCUCAUUAAUUUCAACUCUACUAAUUUGGAUCUAUGAUCCUUUAGGACAAGAACUGGACUGAUGUUUAGAAACAUAAACAAAAUAAACAAGUUUUCGAAGCAUGUCCGGCUUUCCUUCUUGGGUUUGGAUUUGUAAGCUCAGCUCCGCAGUUCUCAAGCGCUCCGCCUGCAGUUACAAUAACCUGCCACCGGGUGUGUGAUGAGGCUUCGCCCGACACUUGUGCUUGAGGCCCUCAUCUCUGCCAUUGCGCUGCUCACACCUGAUGGAAGGAGCCGAGUAGUGAAGAGACAAAGGUUUCGUCCUAGUCAAGGUUCCAGGCGAGGUUUUUGGUGGGUUUUUUUUUAGUAAUUCAAUAAAUUUAUUCUAAAUGUUA